rnacentral:sRNA from 1 species
AGGAAAAAAAGCCACCCUGCGGCCGGGGCCGGAGCUGGAGCCGCCGCUGCCGCCGCCGCCGCGGCCGUCUGGAGCUCCCCCGCGCGGACGAUGCCUGCCGUGCCCGCCUGGGGCUCGGGGCGGUGAGGCCCGGGGCGCGGGGUAGCUAUGGCGACGGCGAGCGCGGCCCGCGGCGCCGCCUGACAGGUGUGGGCCCCGGCGGCGGCGGCGUGGAGCAGCAUGUACGCCAAGGGGGGCAAGGGUUCGGCCGUGCCCUCCGACAGCCAGGCCCGCGAGAAGUUGGCGCUGUACGUUUAUGAGUACCUGCUGCACAUCGGUGCCCAGAAGUCAGCCCAGACCUUCCUGUCUGAGAUCCGAUGGGAGAAGAACAUCACGCUGGGGGAGCCCCCUGGGUUCCUGCACUCCUGGUGGUGCGUCUUCUGGGACCUGUACUGCGCGGCGCCUGACCGAAGAGAGGCCUGCGAGCACUCCGGCGAGGCCAAGGCCUUCCAGGAUUAUAGUGCUGCAGCCGCCCCCAGCCCUGUUAUGGGGAGUAUGGCCCCAGGUGACACAAUGGCCGCAGGCCCCAUGGCGGCUGGCUUCUUCCAGCCCUUCAUGUCACCGCGCUUCCCAGGGGGCCCCCGGCCCACCCUGCGGAUGCCGAGUCAGGGCAUCCAAGCAUGGGCGGCCCAAUGCAGAGGGUGACGCCUCCUCGUGGCAUGGCCAGCGUGGGGCCCCAGGUAAGAGUGGAGCCCUGGUGGGUGGGGCCUUCGGGCUGUCCCCGGUCUACCCCUCACAGCCCCUUUGCCUCCGCAGAGCUAUGGAGGUGGCAUGCGACCCCCAC